ACCUUUCAACCUGACUACGUUUUAGCUGGAAGGCAGUGGGGUCUGGUCUUAACACUUGUAAAUGAAAACCAUAUCCUUUAGCCUUCAUGAUACUGUAUGGUAUUUUAUAGUAGCAGAUCGAUCAAGGCAACGAAUCCUAGAAGCUUUCAAAAUGGUAUUCUCUCAGAAACCAGGGACUGCAAAAAUUGGAGCUGUGCUUUUAUUGAUUUCGUUUAUAAUUGCUUUAAUUGGAACCUUAUCGCCAUCAUGGUAUAAAAGUCGAAACUCAACUUCUGGAAUUUGGAUGUUUUGUCUAGGACCUGGAGAAUUUGAGAAUUGUGGUUCAAUCAAUUUAGCUUAUCAACCAGAUUGGUAUUUGGCUGUCCUGAGUUUAGCGGCAAUUGGAGUUAUCUUACUGUUUAUAUCAACAAUCGCAGCUUUUUGUGCUACCGGUCGAGCGGUUGCCGCUAUUUUGGGUAUAUUGGGAGGGCUGUUGGUUAUAGUAUCUGUUGUCGUUUACUAUGUGAAACAGAAUGAAGCUGUGUCGACAUUCAGUGAAUUACUCUACUGGGGUUUCUAUUUGUCCGGGAUAUCCGGAGGUCUUGGUUUUAUAGGCGCAUUGCUCUUAAUACCCGGUCAAAAACAAAAUGCCGUUUCAACUUAUUAAUAAUUAUAGUGUAUUUCUGAUUUGUUGUGAUAGCUCUUCUAUAUAUAAUUGACCUACAUAAUUGUUACUGUACAUGCUUGAAAACGUUGUCGCACAAAUAAAUUAAGUUGUUGUUUGUCCAUGUUAUAAUUCGUUAGUAUAUAGGACCUUCAAAUGCUAGGCGAUAUAUCCAUUUCGGGGAAAAAUUUAUAUUAACAGUCUACUAUUUGGCACCCAAAUAGCUUUCAUAUCUAUUGAGUUCAUGCAAAUUAAGAACUAGUUUUAUAUACUAUUUAUAU